rnacentral:tRNA from 1 species
UGUUCUGUGGCUUAGUUGGCUAAAGCGCUGGUCUAACGAAUAAAUACGAAGUCGUGGGUUCGAAUUCCACCAGAACGC